rnacentral:rRNA from 1 species
UACGUAGGUGGCAAGCGUUGUCCGGAUUUAUUGGGCGUAAAGCGAGUGCAGGCGAUUCAAUAAGUCUGAUGUGAAAGCCUUCGGCUCAACCGGAGAAUUGCAUCAGAAACUGUUGAACUUGAGUGCAGAAGAGGAGAGUGGAACUCCAUGUGUAGCGGUGGAAUGCGUAGAUAUAUGGAAGAACACCAGUGGCGAAGGCGGCUCUCUGGUCUGCAACUGACGCUGAGGCUCGAGAGCAUGGGUAGCGAACAGG